rnacentral:rRNA from 1 species
GACGAACGCUGGCGGCGUGCUUAACACAUGCAAGUCGAGCGGUAAGGCCCUUUCGGGGGUACACGAGCGGCGAACGGGUGAGUAACACGUGGGUGACCUGCCCUCAGCUCUGGGAUAAGCCUGGGAAACCGGGUCUAAUACUGGAUAUGACUCCAUGACGCAUGUUGUGGGGUGGAAAGCCUUGUGCGGCUGAGGAUGGGCCCGCGGCCUAUCAGCUUGUUGGUGGGGUGANGGCCUACCAAGGCGACGACGGGUAGCCGGCCUGAGAGGGCGACCGGCCACACUAGGACUGAGACACGGCCCAGACUCCUACGGGAGGCAGCAGUGGGGAAUCUUGCGCAAUGGGCGAAAGCCCUGACGCAGCGACGCCGCGUGAGGGAUGACGGCCU